GCUCUGCAGCACUUGCACUCUUUUCAAAAAAGAUGAACGGAAGGAAUGCUUAUUUCAUUACCAGCCUUCCUAUCCAAACUUUAACAAGGAGCAGGGAAAGGGGGGGGGGAUGUCAACUUGAGUCGCCGUCGAAAAGUCAUGCUUUCACCAGUAAAGACACUGAUGACAUUCAAAGGAAGGAAGAAGCAAGAUGAAGCUAAGGAAAAGGAGUCUUCUUCCAGCACUGAAGGAGGAGAGAAAUUUGGCUUGAGAGAGAAACACAGGACAGGAAGCCACAAUCCAGACGGAACAUGGUGAAACAGACUGUUUCCAGAUUCGCAAAGCAGUAAGACAAGGCUGUAUACUUUCUCCUUUAUUCAAUGUAUAUGCUGAACAUAUACUGAGAGAAGCUGGAUUGGAAGAAGAUGAGCAUGUUUUUAAAGUUGGAGGAAGAAAUACCGAUAACCUGCGCUACGCUGUUGACACCACUCUGAUAGUUGAGAAUGCAAAUGAUCAGCAAGCUCUAGUAAUGAAAGUCAAGGAGCUCAGUGAAAAAAUGGGACUACAACUAAAUGUAAAGAAAACUACACUAAUAACAAAGGGUAUAUAGCAA